UCAACAACAAGCGAUUCGAAUUGCAACAACAACCAAGCUCCGACCCGUUCUAACCCUCACCCGAAAACCCGACCUUAUACCGAACUCCACCACCAACUCCGCGCUGAUAUCAGUGAAACCCAACCCAAAUUCGGCGAAAACAAAUUUCCCGAGUACCGACCUAACUCCGUUCGAAUCGACCCGACCUUGACCCAUGCAGAUUCACAAAGAAAUUGGUCGAAUCUUCCAGAAUAUGAUGUGUUGGCCUCUCCAACGGUUGAAUCCCGCGAUUCUCGGAUGAGAAGGUACAAAUUCGUACAAAGGUGGGCGAAUUUUAUUGGUUUUGGGGGGAGGUUUCCACUUUUCCUUUUCCUAUUGGUUGAAACCAAUUCAAAAUUCCCCCAAGAAUCCAAAAUUUGUAUUGGUUUGAGUAACGAAUCUGGUUGUCAACCUUAUCCUCAAUUCGAAUUUUGAAAUCUUUUUUUUGGUAAAUACCAAGUUUGUCCUCAUGGGAAGCCCUAAACGAACCCUAUUUUUUCUCUAUAAAAAGGGAGUCUUAGGAGCAGAGAGGGGGGAUUUUUUUUUUCGGCUUCUUUCCUUUUGGGUUUGAAAAAUUCGGGAGAUUUUGGGGUUCGAAAGAUCCGAGGUGGGGGUUUUCGUGAAUGAAGGUUGGUAAAGAGAGGGAUUCUAGGUUUUGAAAAAAGAAACUGAAGAAGAAAAUUUUUUGAGGCUGGUUCGAAAAUCUGGGUUCGAAAAUUAGAGUCUCAAAAUUGGGGAGUGGAAAUUUUGGGGUGGGAAAGGAAAAAAAUAUUUUCUGAGUUAGCUGGUUUCGAGUAAAGAAGCCUUUUCUUUGAGAACUUUCCAGUAGUGGUGGUUAAGCUUUCAUUGUAGGCUCGAGUCUCAUUUGCUGCAUCGAGACAGUUUCGGGAGGAUGGGGACCCGUUGUGCUGAUGUUUUGUUAAAGUUUUGUGUUCGGUUAGUUUCGGACUAAUGGUAUCUAGUUAUGGCCGAUUUCAUGGCUCUAAGUCUCAUGUUUCUAAUGUCGGAUUGAUGGUGUCUUGUUCAUUGUUCGUAUUUGACGUCAUCUUGUUCGUCAUCAUUAGUCGGAUGUUUGCAGUAUAUUGUCUUCCAUAUCACUAAAGUUGUUUUCUCUCUAUUAGGAGUAGAAUAGGAAUAUGGUUUAGACUAGAUCAGUUAAAUUUUCUUUUCCUGUUUGUAAGAAAGGCAUGUAAUGUCUAGAUUAAAUGUUGCUUUCUUGUUCCAUAAGCUCGGUGCAAUUAAACCUACAUUAGUUUAAUGAGAUUUCUUUCGUCAAAUUUUGGUACACUUUGUCUUAAUUUGCUCUUAGUUGCUGGUUUCACAGCAUUGUUAUUAUAAAGAUGAAUACCAAAUGCGUUUUCAUGUUCAGUCAAGCACUGCAUCUAGACGUUUCGUUAAGUAGAAGUUCUCUGUCUGUUGAAUAAAAAUAGUAUUACGUUGAUAUCGAUUGAAUUAUUGGUUGUUAUGACUGCAGUGUUCAUGUAUCAAUUGAAAUUCACUCUUAAUUAUUCACAACUGAAUUAAUUCAAAAUGUCCAGGUUAUAUGAUGUUUCCUUGCUUUAUAAACUCGGUGCAGUUAGACAUAUGUUAGAUGAUUUCUUCUGCCAAAUGUGGUUCAUUUUGUCUUAAUGUCUUCCUUUCUUUUGGUUAUAUGACAUUAUUGUUAAGACUGAUGAAUGCCAAAUAUGUUUUAAUGUUUUGCCAAGCACUGCAUCUACAUGGUUUCCUGCACGUUGAAUGAAGUUACUACUAUGUCGAUAUUGAUUGAACUAUUGGUUGCCAUGUUCCAGUGUUCAUGUAUCGAUUAAAAUUUCUUUCUAAAUUAUUUUUAGUUGAAUUAUUUCCUAAUCCUUAUCUUCCUUCACCUUUUCUUUGCACGAACCCGCCUUUGAGUCCAAAAGGACUCUAUUCCCAUUGUUGCAUUAUCAAUGUGGGCCAUUGAGGUCCAUGCCUCAUGAAUCGAUUUCGAAGGUCAUAAGGAGACGAUCUCAUAGUGCGUGGAUAAGAAAGCCGGAAGAAGAAAAAUGGAUUAAAGUCCUAUCGUUAGAGCAGGCGACGAGACUCGAGAAUCUCAUUCUUUUAUUUAUCUGUUGUACUAUUUAUUUAUUUAUUUAUUUAUUUAUUGUUGCUUUAGUUAUUUAUUUCUUUGGUUAUCUAUUUUAGGCCUCGAAGCUAAAGUUGUAAAUUAAUACAGGUGGAGCAAGAUUCGAGCCAAACGCUCGAAAACUAGAUUAGGACAGGUGAAAUGGGUCGAAGGCCCAAUUAGACUAGGACAGGUUUUGUUGGUUUGGAUCAAUGGCCUAAAUCCCUUGCUUCCUCCCCUUCCCCCUGUUUCUUAUGUUUGUUUUCCUUAUGUGCUUUGCGAACCUAGUUAAAUCCUUAGUUAAGUCGCUAAAAAACUAGUUUUGCAUGAAUACCAAAAUAUGUUCAAAAUCGCUUUCUUUCCAAAAAAUCAAUCACUUUUCGACAAAAUUAAUCUUUUCGAAGUUAAUCAAAAGACGAUUUUUAAACAGUCCGGAUAAGGGAGUAAAUAAAUAGAAGUUAAGUUUUAGUGCUAAAGUGAGUUUGGAGGAUAAGUUCGGGGUGGGGGGGUGUGAAUAUGCCUUUUCUCAUUAAUUAAUAGUAAAUAGAUUCAUGAAUAAUUUAAAACAAAAAGUAACUUUCUUUCAAGAACUUAAAACAUACAAUUUAAAGAAGAAUGAAUUUGUCAAAUUCAUGUUCUUUGUAACUCUAUACUUUUAACUAAUGCAUUUGUUUCAAAAAUUAAUUGAAACAUAACUCAAAAUUUUUAAUCGAUGUACAACCUUUAAUAAUAACAUACGUGUGUCUGGUAUUCAUGAGAGCUCUAAAGACUAAGAUCAAAGGUCUCAUAGGAACGAUCUCAUUUCACUUUUCAUAUAAGUGAAUUCAUCAAGUGUACACUGCUUUAAAGACACUAUCCUUAAUGAUUAUGAAUUCAUUAAAGUUAGUAAUUCAUCACUCCAUUUUAGUAGCAGUUCAAACACUCUCAAUUAGUACGCAGAGUCAAUAUCUAUUUAUUAUUACCCAUAUGAACCUACUUCAUGGGAUUUUCAAUCACAUAGGUUGGGUUAUCAUCUCUAUUGACAAUCAUAUUGGCCUUAACCGUAUCUCUUUUGAGGUUUGGAGAAUUAAUUUUCUUCCUACAGGUUUAGUCAGUGAAUCAGUCGAAUUCAAUUCUGACUUCACAUAAUUAAUGGAAAUUAUUCCAUCUUUCAGCAGUUGCUUAACAACAUCAUGUCUCAAUUUCAUAUGUCUACUCUUACAACUGUAAAAUUUAUUCUUCACAAUAGCAAUUACGGCUUGACAAUCACAGUGUAUAUACACAGGAGACCCCAGAUCAUCCUCUUUGAAAGGGAUAUUAGACAACAAAUCAUUCUUUUUUAAAAGGAAUAUUUGCUAAGAAAUUUCUUAGUCAUUCAACCUCAGUACCAACUAACUCCAAAGUCACAAGCUCUGAUUCCAUAGUUGAUCUAGCAAUGAUCUUUAUCCCUCAUGGAUGUGCUACAUGUUCCGACAAUGCGAGCAAACCUAAUUUUUGUGGCUUUGCUGGAUAAAGCUAGUAUGAAAGUGUCUGUUAAAUCUAAUAAUGUUAUUUUGACAAAAAAAUAUUGUAUUUGUGAGAAAAGACUAUUGUAACCAUGAGACUUAUUACUAUACCUUCUGUUGUUGCUGUACUGUCCUUGUACAAAAUUUGUUUUGAGCGCAGUUUGCUUAGCUUUGAACGACUCCUUUCUGUUGGUGUCUUCAAUUAGAAUAUGAAUUAUAAUUUCCUCAA